UACCUUUGUACUUGAAAUGGUUCUGUUUUGUCCGUCCGGGCAAGCAGAUUAAAAGGGAAUCGGGUGAAAAUCCCGGACAGUCCCGCUGCUGUGAAGCUCCAUUUUCAACUUUGCGAAAAAUACUUAUGCCACUGAUGUAACAAUUACAUUGGGAAGGUUUCGCGAGGGGAGUCAGUCAGAAGACCUGCCAUCAUUCAUUACCUACUG
rnacentral:ncRNA from 15 species